CCUACGGGAGGCAGCAGUGGGGAAUAUUGCACAAUGGGGGAAACCCUGAUGCAGCGACGCCGCGUGAGUGAAGAAGUAAUUCGUUACGUAAAGCUCUAUCAGCAGGGAAGAAAAUGACGGUACCUGAGUAAGAAGACACGGCUAACUACGUGCCAGCAGCCGCGGUAAGACGUAGGGGGCAAGCGUUAUCCGGAUUUACUGGGUGUAAAGGGGGCGUAGACGGUGCGCCAAGUCUGGAGUGAAAUGCCGCGGCUUAACUGCGGAACUGCUUUGGAUACUGGCGAACUAGAGUGCGGGAGGGGUAGGCGGAAUUCCUGGGGUAGCGGUGAAAUGCGUAGAUAUGAGGAGGAACACCGGUGGCGAAGGCGGCUUACUGGACCGUAACUGACGUUGAGGCUCGAAAGCGUGGGGAGCAAACAGGAUUAGAUACCCUAGUAGUC
rnacentral:rRNA from 1 species